GACGAACGCUGGCGGCGUGCUUAACACAUGCAAGUCGAACGGUGAAGGGAUCAGCUUGCUGGUCCUGGAUGAGUGGCGAACGGGUGAGUAACACGUGAGUAACCUGCCCCCUUCUUCUGGAUAACCGCAUGAAAGUGUGGCUAAUACGGGAUAUUCUGCGCCUGCUGCAUGGUGGGUGUGGGAAAGAUAUUGUUUCGGUGGGGGAUGGGCUCGCGGCCUAUCAGCUUGUUGGUGGGGUGAUGGCCUACCAAGGCGGUGACGGGUAGCCGGCCUGAGAGGGUGGACGGUCACACUGGGACUGAGACACGGCCCAGACUCCUACGGGAGGCAGCAGUGGGGAAUAUUGCACAAUGGGCGCAAGCCUGAUGCAGCGACGCCGCGUGAGGGAUGGAGGCCUUCGGGUUGUGAACCCCUUUCGCCAGUGAAGCAGGCCUGUCCCUUGUGGGUGGGUUGACGGUAGCUGGAGAAGAAGCGCCGGCUAACUACGUG
rnacentral:rRNA from 1 species